AGGUGAACCUGCGGAAGGAUCAUUAAUGAAUUUAGAUUGAACCAUAGGCGAAAGCCAGUGGUUCUUCUUUCAUAUCCAUAACACCUGUGCACUGUUGGAUGCUUGCAUCCACUUUUAAACUAAACAUUAUUGUAACAAAUGUAGUCUUAUUAUAACAUAAUAAAACUUUCAACAACGGAUCUCUUGGCUCUCG
rnacentral:misc_RNA from 1 species